rnacentral:rRNA from 1 species
AUUGAACGCUGGCGGCAGGCCUAACACAUGCAAGUCGAGCGGAGCGGCGGACGGGUGAGUAAUGCCUAGGUAUCUGCCUGGUCGUGGGGGAUAACGUCAGGAAACGGGCGCUAAUACCUCAUACUAGCAGAUCAGCAUAGAGCGGAUUAGCUAGUUGGUGGGGUAAAGGCCUCCCAAGGCGACGGUCCGUACCUGGUCUGAGAGGAUGAUCAGUCAAACGGGAACUGAGACAAGGUCCAGACGCCUACGGGAGGCAGCGGUGGGGAAUAUUGUACAAUGGGCGAAAGCCUGAUCCAGCGAUGCCGCGUGUGUGAAGAAGUUCGUCGGAUUGUAAAGCACUUUAAGUUGGGAGGCGUUACCAACAGAAGAAGCACGGGCGAACUUCGUGCCAGCAGCCGCGGUAAUAC